GACGAACCGUCCGAACGUUAUUCGGAAUCACUGGGCUUAAAGGGCGCGUAGGCGGGUGACUCAGUCUGGGGUGAAAGCCUCCCGCUUAACGGGAGAAGUGCCUUGGAAACUGGUCAUCUGGAGGGAGGUAGGGGCAUCUGGAACCAUGGGUGGAGCGGUGAAAUGCGUUGAUAUUCAUGGGAACUCCAAUGGCGAAGGCAAGGUGCUGGACCUCAUCUGACGCUGAGGCGCGAAAGCUAGGGGAGCGAACGGG
rnacentral:rRNA from 1 species